rnacentral:rRNA from 1 species
UUUUUAAUGUAAAUUUAUUAACCAGAGUAUUAUUAGUUAAGAUCUUAAAACUUAAAGAACUUGGCGGUAUUAUAGGUCUAUUUAGAGGAAUCUGUUAAGUAAUCGAUAAUCCACGUUGAACCUUACUUAUAUUAAUUCUUGUAUACCACUGUUAAGAAUAUAUUAUAAGAUUAUAUUCAUGAUAAAUAAUUAUUUAUAAUUUCAAGUCAAGGUGCAGUUAUAUAUAAGAUUAUUAAUGGAUUACAAAAAAUUGUAUUUAUAACGAAUAUAAAUUGAAAUAUAAAUUUGAAGGUGGAUUUAACUGUAAAUUUUAAAAGAUUAUAAGGUUGAUUUAAGCUCUAUAAUAUGUACACAUCGC